CUUACGCUGCCAUCAGGCGAUAUGAAGGCGGUGGUUUCCUGGAGUAACACUGGCCUAUGAUAGGAAUUCGACGCAAGGAAGAUUUAUGGGAGCACCGAUUUGCAAGGCAUUGUGGGAAAAAGGUACACAGGUUGCACAUAAUAUGAUGGCAGUAGAGCUGGGAUGAACGUAGCCACACUCAAUCCUGCGAAGCCAACACUGAAAGAACCAGGCAGAGUGAACACAUUUAAAAAUGAAUUUAAAAACAUACUUCAGUAAAGACAAGGAAUGCACCACUGGGCAGGGGAAGAAACAGCAGAUCUAAAGCCACAUGUUCCCCACCUAUGACGCUGAAGCUCAAACCAAACAUUCUCAAAUGCUGUCAACCAACACAUUGAUCUCUCCAAGUCCUAUCUUCCACCUUUAGGAAAAAAGAUAUUUACUCGGAAUCCUGCCAACUCUCAUUUUUACAACAAAAGGCCUCAUAAAUUACUUACUGCCUCCCAGCCUCACAUUUGUGUGCAGUGCGAUAGAGUUUAUCAGAGUUUAUCCAUUUCCCACAGAGCUGUCACUAGAGUCGGACCUCAUGAUCUCGACAAACCCAACCUUCAUGAAAUUGUUCAAAAACUAUUUUUCAGUCAGCAUCGUUGAGAUUGAGUCCUCGAAACACAGGGGAAAUAAAUUGGUAGUUUAGAAAUAGUAGCAAUGCAUCAUAUUCAAGCAGGCAGGUACACAUUUACACAACUUAGGAGUGUGUGUAUGCACAUAUACAGGAGAAUGCCUACAUGUAUACAGAUCACUUUAACAUAUAUCAGAUAACUUUUUCUUACUUGGAAGGUUUUGUGAUGCCCCCAUCAUCAACUAUCCUGAAACACUUAGACUUGCCCAGCCAGCUAAAGAACACUGAUAUUCUGUCAAUGUGGGUACAUACAUAGUUUGCUGUUAUGAAUAAUUUUGCCAUAAUAAGGGCUUAUGAAGCAACAGACCAAGGUUUUUACUGAUCAAAAAAUUGUCCUUGUAGUUGGCCUAUUAGAGAUCACGGAAGGGCAAAUGGCAAAAAUCAUUACACAGAAAAGAGGUCUGUAAUUUGUAGUGAUUAUAAUCAAAGUUACACUAGUUCUUGUUAAUAACACUCUCCAAGAGCCUGCAUUUCUGACUCAUCAAGCAUAAAACAUUAACAAAAAUUAACAAGAGACUAGGUCUUGAGUCAGAGUCACAGGGCAUUAUUUCCUGGAGAAGGACAAAGGUUGCUAUCAUCCCUGUACCAAUACACACUCUGUGUCUCACUGUGUACACAGAAACCACCAGGAAAAAAAUGCCAAAACUUACCUUGGUAGCAACAGCCCGUUAGCAUGCUAACUCCCUAAGAGCAUAUACAUAAUCUUAGAGGUCUGAGGGCCCUCAGAAUCCAUCCAGCCCACCCCCUUGUUUUUCAGAUAAGGACACUGAGACAGAGAGGCUGGAUGGAGUUCUCUAAAGUCGAGCUAGAGAAGCCCAGUGGACUCCCAGAGCUCCUGAUUGCGUAACGGUACUGACAAUGCCCCCCACUCACCACCAUCUGAAUCCAUUUUUGUACAUGCCAUCAAAAAGCUUUGUUACCUAAAAAUAGUUUUGCUGGAUUUUAAUGUCCAUCUGCCAGCUUUUUCUAAUGGUAGGUUAGCAAUAGAAUAGUAGGCAUGUUAAAUAAAGCAUUCAGCUAGUAUCUAUCACUUAGUGGGGUCUCCGGGUACCUUUGCUUAUUUAACUUCAUCCUUCCUUAAAUAAAAGUUUACUCCUUUUUGUAUAUACCCAGUAAUGGGAUUGCUGGGUCAAAUGGUAUUUCUAGUUCUAGAUCCUUGAGGAAUUGCCACACUGUCUUCCACAAUGCUUGAACUAAUUUACACUCCCACCAACGGUAUACUGGGUAUAUACCCAAAGGAUUAUAAAUCAUUCUACUAUAAAGACACAUGCACACGUAUGUUUAUUGUGUGACUGUUCACAAUAGCAAAGACUUGGAACCAACCCAAAUGCCCAUUAAUGAUAGACUGGAUAAAGAAAAUGCGGCACAUAUACACCAUGGAAUACUAUGCAGCCAUAAAAAAGGAUGAGUUCAUGUCCUUUGCAGGAACAUGGAUGAAGCUGGAAACCAUCAUUCUAAGCAAACUAUCACAAGGACAGAAAACCAAACACCGCAUGUUCUCACUCAUAGGUGGGAGUUGAACAAUGAGAACACAUGGACACAGGGCGGGGAACCUCACACCCCGGGGCCUACUGGGGAGUCGGGGGCUGGUGGAUGGAUAGUAUUAGGAGAAAUAUCUAAUGUAAAUGAUGAGUUGGUGGGUGCAGCAAACCAAUAUGGCACAUGUAUACCUAUGUAACAAACCUGCAUGUUGUACAUAUGUACCCUAGAACUUAAAGUAUAAUAAAAAAUAAAAAUUAAAAAAAAAAGUUUACUCCUUUUUAAAACUUUGUUCAAGUUUGUUUGUAUAGCCUACCAAAAAUCCUAUCUAGGAUAUAUUUUAUAUCUCUGUAUCUUAUUCAUAUUGCCAUAUCUUUUUGAUGUAGUAUUUAGUACAAAUAAAUGUUUGACAUUUUUUAAUAGGUCA